GGUAAAGUUAAAGUGGAAUUCUUGGAGACCAAUUAGAGGGGGGAUUCACUCGCAGGGCCAUUUACAGCUGGUGAUAUGAGGCUUGUGACUUAGGUCAGACUCAGGAGAGUUGCCAGCUCUUAGAAUAAUAAAUCAAGGUUUAUUGUUUCAUGAGGGGGAGGGGCUAUGAGGUUGGGGGAAUACAAUGAACUCAAACGUUUGCAUCCAAAGUCCAAGAUAAAAGAGUCAACAAGGAGGCAGGUGGGAUAACUGGUAGAAUAGCCUUCCUUCAUAUGAGAUGGGUAGUUUAUUAUUUGUCAGGAAAGAGAAAAUAACACCUUCCACUUAGGUUUUUUUGGUGGGAGUUCUGCAAGAAUGAGAGCUAGGACGAUCAUCAGUCCCUGACUCCACUCCCUGACAGGGAUUUCGACACAAAACGCCAUGGCUGUUGGACAUUGCAUGGACCAGCAAAGAGAAAGACCUGGCCUGCUCCUAGAUCAUAGAUCUUGCCAGAUACGGUUCAUGCUCCAUUAUCCACUCUAAUGGAGGAAAGUUGGACAGCAUAAUUAAAAACAAUGGGCAACCUUGAAAGGCCCAGAAAUCCACGGGUAACAUCCAGUCCCGCCUUGUGCCGUUGGAUGAUGUGGUGUCAGGCCGUAUGCUGAGCAGAGCACAAGUGCCCAGCUUCAAGAAGAAUCCAGUGCAGUGAGGAAAGAAGAGACUGCUUUCAGCCAGCCAUCACUGUCUGCGUGAAUUAAUGCUGGUGAUCACACACAUGUUAGACAUCAUUGCCAGAUCACCCUUGUAUGGCUUCUGCACUGACCAAAGAUUUCUGGUGGUAUGGACUGAAUAUAUUCGUCUCUCUAAAAUUCAUAUAUCUGAAGACCCAACCCCCAAUGUGGUGGUAUUAGCAGGUGGGGCCUUUGGGAAGUAUUUGGGUUUCGACGAGGUCAUGAAGGUAGAGCCCCCGUGAUGGAAUUAGUGCCCUUGCAGAAAUAGUAAGAGUCUAGAGCUUUCUCUGCCAUGUAAGGGGGUAGUGAAAAGGCAGCUGUCUGCAAGGCGGGAAGAGGGUCCUCACUAAGAGCCAAAUCUGUUGGCAUCUUGGUCUUGGAUUUUCAGCCUCCAGAACUGACUGAGACAACUGGUAACUGUUACACAAAGUUUUAAUCCCAACUCUCUUGCUUGUUCACUCUGUCUGUACUCCCAGAGCAUUUAAGUUGGAUAAUAAAGUAAGUCCCCUUGACAAGAACAAAUGAAGGUUUUGCAAAUAUAAGAAAAUCUGGAAGGUGGAGACCUUUGGACCUUGAAGUCUCCAUAUCAAUGAGCGUUUGAAUUGAAUGAAGAGGCAAAAAUUACUUGCUUCUUCCGCUGUGGUUCAUGGUUUCUCUGGGUUUUCUGCAUUUGUUUAUGUUUUGUUGAAGGAGAAUGAUCCAACGGGAAUCAUUUUAUUCAUCUAAUCUGGCCAUGAUGCUGCAUUUACAGGAACGGUGUAUAUCAAGCAUGAAACACUCUCCUACCUUUUAUUAUUAUUCUAUCUUACUUUUUUUUUAAGUGUAUUUUUUUUUCUUUUGAGAGAGAAAGAGUACACACAAGUGAGUUGGGGAGGGGCAGAGGGAGAGGGAGAGAAUCUGAAGCAGGCUUCAAGCCCAGCAUGGAGCCUAAUGUGGGGCUCAAUCCCAGUACCGUGAGAUCAUGACCUGAGCCCAAAACAAGAGUCAAACAUUUAACUGACUGAGCCACCCAGGUGCCCCUUCCCUAUCUUUCUUAUUUCUUUGCUCUUUCUUCUUCCCUCCCUGCCUUCCAUUUUUAAUGCAUAUUUUUUGAGCAGAUGAUAAACUGUCUAACACAGUUCCAGGCAUUCAUCCCUCUUUACUUGGAAAGGAACAGAUAUUAUAAAUACAGCAAUUUGAAGACAUGUGUAAAGCAACCAGUAAGUAGUCUAAUCCCUCUGGGGCUGAAGGAAUGCCAAAUGUGGGUGAGGGGACCACGGGGGUGUGGUCAAUCUCAGAUGACUUUCUGCUGGAAAUGAUUUUGAGACAGGUCUUGGAAGAAUGCCUUACUCAUUUUUUCCUUAUAAGAGACUCUUAAA